CCUACGGGUGGCAGCAGUGGUGGAUAUUGCACAAUGGGGGGAACCCUGAUGCAGCGACGCCGCGUGGGUGAAGGAGUGCUUCGGCAUGUAACGCCCUAUCGGCAGUGAAGAAUCAAGACGGUACCUGACUAAGAAGCCCCGGCUAACUACGUGCCAGCAGCCGCGGUAAUACGUAGGGGGCGAGCGUUAUCCGGAAUCACUGGUGGUAAAGGGAGCGUAGACGGCAAUGCAAGCCAGGGGUGAAAGCCCCGGGCUCAACCUCGAGACUGCACUUGGAACUGGAUGGCUUGAGUGCGGGAGGGGUAGGCGGAAUUCCGGGUGUAGCGGUGAAAGGCGUAGAGAUCAGGAGGAACACCGGAGGCGAAGGCGGCCUGCUGGACCGCGACUGACGUUGAGGCUCGAAAGCGUGGGGAGCGAACAGGAUUAGAUACCCUGGUAGUC
rnacentral:rRNA from 1 species